GGAGACACAAAGCACGGUUCACAAAGGGGGCCCGAGAGGGGCGAAGGGGGCUGCCCGGGGCACGGCUCAUCCCCACACCUGCGCGCGGGUUGGGGGAAGAAUGUGGCCGGCGCAUUCCUCUGCUGGGGCCAGCGGGGGAGAACUUCCCACGUCGAGACUGGGUGAGGGGCUCAGCCAUCCGGCAUCUCGGAGGAGGGGGUCAAGCGCCUGGCCGGGCUCCUGCUCCGCGCCUCCCGCCUCCAAGGUCACUUCAGCCUCCCUGAAGACCGCCCGGCACGGCUCGGAGGCCGCGCACUGCAGCCAGCAAACCUGCGCCCGAGGGCAGAGAGUGAAGGAGGCUGGGUCCAGGCGUGCCCGGCCCUGCACUCCCCACACCGCAGGGUCCUCACGGGCCUUCCGGGACUCCCUUGGCCCCAGGGAGCGCAGCCCCGCGCUCUCCCCGACGCCACUGCCCCAUGCGGACCCCGCCCGCCCCCCAGGGAGCGGUCCCGGUCGGGGCCACGGCGAGGCUGUGGAGUACCUGGAGAAGGAGGAGAGACGCGAGAGGUCCACGAGGGAGCCCCAUGGCUGCAGAGAGAGGGGUGAAGCAGCUGCCGCGACGGCGGGCCGGUGUUCCGCUCAGCUCUUGCCCCUUUGAGCACCGCAGCCCCCGGGAGCCAGCGGGAGGAGGCCAGGGACUCAGCCUCUGUCUCGCAGUUCUGGGUUAGAGGAGAAAAGAACACCCAGUGCACUCCUCAG
rnacentral:lncRNA from 1 species